GGCCUUGCCCCAAGGCAGAAAAUACACUUGUUAAGAUUAGCUGGUAGAUGAUGACAGUAGGGUCAUCCGGUCGAAAGUUAGGAUUUUAGAAAAAGCAGACAA
rnacentral:ncRNA from 1 species